rnacentral:misc_RNA from 1 species
AAGUCGUAACAAGGUUUCCGUAGGUGAACCUGCGGAAGGAUCAUUAACACGUAUCCAACGUUAAAACAACCCCGUGAACUUUCAGCUUGCUCCUGUAGCCCGUGAAAGCAGCAAUCCCUGGUAAAUCAUUCUCUGCAGAUUGUGAUAUUUUAUAGCUACGGUUGAGCGAUUGCAUCUAGUGACCUGGCAUCCCCAAGUAAUCAUCAUUGAUUGUGUAAGGAUGGCGCAGUCACGAUCGCUGUAGGCCCACACGGCCGGCGACCGGGUCACCGGGCUCUGCUCCUUUACGACAACUACAGUCUACUUCGCCGCGCGUGAAAUUCGCACGGCACCAAAAACCGAACAACUGUUAACAAUGGAUAUCUC